UUGGAGGGCAAGUCUGGUGCCAGCAGCCGCGGUAAUUCCAGCUCCAAUAGCGUAUAUUAAAGUUGUUGCAGUUAAAAAGCUCGUAGUUGAACUUCGGGAUCAAUGGAUCGGUCAUGCCGUUGGUAUGUACUGGUCACAUUGGUUCUCACCUUCUAAGGAACCAUGAUGUCAUUCAUUUGAUGUUGUGGGGAAUUAGGACUGUUACCUUGAAAAAAUUAGAGUGUUUAAAGCAGGCUAACGCUUGAAUACAUUAGCAUGGAAUAAUGAAAUAGGACAUCGCAUUCUAUUUUGUUGGUUUCUAGGAUCGAUGUAAUGAUUAAUAGGGAUAGUUGGGGGCAUUAGUAUUCAAUUGUCAGAGGUGAAAUUCUUGGAUUUAUUGAAGACUAACUACUGCGAAAGCAUUUGCCAAGGAUGUUUUCAUUAAUCAAGAACGAAAGUUAGGGGAUCGAAGACGAUCAGAUACCGUCGUAGUCUUAACCAUAAACUAUGCCGACUAGGGAUCGGAUGAUGUUAAUUUUUUAAUGACUCAUUCGGCGCCUUACGGGAAAC
rnacentral:rRNA from 1 species